rnacentral:rRNA from 1 species
AUUGAACGCUGGCGGCAGGCCUAACACAUGCAAGUCGAACGGUAACAGGAAGAAGCUUGCUUCUUUGCUGACGAGUGGCGGACGGGUGAGUAAUGUCUGGGAAACUGCCUGAUGGAGGGGGAUAACUACUGGAAACGGUAGCUAAUACCGCAUAACGUCGCAAGACCAAAGAGGGGUACCUUCGGGCCUCUUGCCAUCGGAUGUGCCCAGAUGGGAUUAGCUAGUAGGUGGGGUAACGGCUCACCUAGGCGACGAUCCCUAGCUGGUCUGAGAGGAUGACCAGCCACACUGGAACUGAGACACGGUCCAGACUCCUACGGGAGGCAGCAGUGGGGAAUAUUGCACAAUGGGCGCAAGCCUGAUGCAGCCAUGCCGCGUGUAUGAAGAAGGCCUUCGGGUUGUAAAGUACUUUCGGCGGGGAGGAAGAGAGUAAAGUUAAUACCCUUGCUCAUUGACGUUACCCGCAGAAGAAGCACCGGCUAACUCCGUG